GCGGCACGCCUAACACAUGCAAGUCGAACGCAGUAGCAAUACUGAGUGGCAAACGGGUGAGUAUAAUGUGGGAAUCUGCCUUUUGGUUUGGAAUAACACGGGGAAACUUGUGCUAAUACCGAAUAAGCCUUUACAGGGAAAGUUUUAACGCCAAGAGAUGAGCCCGCACUUGAUUAGCUAGUUGGUAAGGUAAAAGCUUACCAAGGCAACGAUCAAUAGCUGUUCUUAGAGGAAGACCAGCCACAUUGGGACUGAGACACGGCCCAGACUCCUACGGGAGGCAGCAGUGGGGAAUCUUGCACAAUGGGGGAAACCCUGAUGCAGCGAUGCCGCGUGAGUGAAGAAGGCCCUUGGGUUGUAAAACUCUUUCGUCGGGGAAGAAAAUGACUGUACCCGAAUAAGAAGGUCCGGCUAACU
rnacentral:rRNA from 1 species